rnacentral:rRNA from 1 species
CGUAGGGUCCAAGCGUUAUCCGGAAUCACUGGGCGUAAAGCGUGCGUAGGUGGCGCGUUAAGUGUGAUGUUAAAACGUGGGGCUCAACCCUGUCGGUGCAUCACAUACUGGCGUGCUAGAGGACAGCAGAGGCAAGUGGAAUUUGUAGUGUAGCAGUGAAAUGCGUAGAUAUUACAAGGAACACCAAUGGCGAAGGCAGCUUGCUGGGCUACUCCUGACACUGAGGUACGAAAGCGUGGGGAGCGAACAGGAUUAGAUACCCUGGUAGUCCACGCCGUAAACGAUGCAUACUAGACGUAUGGGGUAUCGACCCCCUGUGCGUCGAAGCUAACGCGAUAAGUAUGCCGCCUGGGAAGUACGGCCGCAAGGCUA